AUUCCAUGAUGAGGGAACUUCUGUAAUAAUUCUUUGUACCUUUCCCAUGCCUCAUACAAGUACCUGUCAUCCAUUUGUUGGAAGGUAGUAAUUUCAUUCCACAACUU
rfam:Gossypium hirsutum cultivar TM-1 chromosome 11, whole genome shotgun sequence